rnacentral:ncRNA from 1 species
UGGGAAGCCAUUGGAGUAGUCGGUUUGUCAUUUUGAGCAUUGUAAGGCAUGUUUUUGAGCACUUUGAGAAAUUUAAUAAUAAUGAUCCAUAGGAAGCUGGACCAGGAGAUGUAGCCUAGAGAGGGGUGAACUCCUUUAUCAAGUUGCUGUGUUUAUGUGCUGAUGUUCAAUAUUUAUGCUGCUGUCUAUGUGUAUUUUGCAUAAGUAAUCCUUAUUUUAUGUGUUGCAAAUUGAUCCCGUUGCUUUAAACACAUAACAUUUCACUUGCAAUAAUUAUUCAAGUUUUUCAAGUCUUCUUCAUUUUUAGAUCAGCGAAACCAGAGGAAACUCUGGUGGAGGCCCGUAGCGAUACUGACGUGCAAAUCAUUCGUCUGACUUGGGUAUAGGGGCGAAAGACUAAUCGAACCAUAUAGUAGCUAGUUUCCUCCGAAGUUUCCCUCAGGAUAGCUGGAGUUCACGUGCGAGUUUUAUCAGGUAAAGCAAAUGAUUAGAGGCAUCGAGGGUGUAACCCUCUCGACCUAUUCUCAAGCUUUAAAUAGGUAAGACGGUGCGGCUGCUCCAUUGAGCUGUUCCACGGAAUCAAGAGCUCCAAGUGGGCCACUUUUGGUAAGCAGAACUAGCGAUGUGGGAUGAACCGAAAGUCGAGUUACGGUGCCAAACUGCGCGCUAACCCAGAUUCCACAAAGGGUGUUGGUUGAUUAAGACAGUAGGACAGUGGUCAUGGAAGUCGAAAUCUGCUAAGGAGUGUGUAACAACUCACCUGCCGAAUCAACUAGCCCCGAAAAUGGAUGGCGCUGAAGCACGCGACCUAUACUCGACCGUCGAAGAAAUUUCCAGGCUUCGAUGAGUAGGAGGAUGCGGGGGUCACUGAGAAACCUUGGGCGUGAGCCUGGGUGGACCGGUCCCCGGUGCAGAUCUUGGUGGUAGUAGCAAAUAUUCAAUUGAGAACUUUGAAGAUUGAAGUGGGGAAAGGUUCCAUGUGAACAACACUUGGACAUGGGUUAGUCGAUCCUAAGAGAUGGGGAAGCCCUGUAUCAAGGGUGCACUAUACACGAGCAUCGAAAGGGAAUCAGGUUAAUAUUCCCG